rnacentral:rRNA from 1 species
GAUGAACGCUAGCGGCAGGCCUAAUACAUGCAAGUCGAGGGGUAGAGCGGUGCUUGCACUGCUUGGGACCGGCGCACGGGUGCGUAACGCGUAUGCAACCUACCCUUUUCUGGGGGAUAGCCCGGAGAAAUCCGGAUUAAUACCGCAUAAGACCACGGUACGGCAUCGUAAGGGGGUCAAACAUUUAUGGGAGAAGGAUGGGCAUGCGUGCCAUUAGCGAGUUGGCGGGGUAACGGCCCACCAAGGCGACGAUGGCUAGGGGAUCUGAGAGGAUGGCCCCCCACACUGGUACUGAGACACGGACCAGGCUCCUACGGGAGGCAGCAGUAAGGAAUAUUGGUCAAUGGAGGCAACUCUGAACCAGCCAUGCCGCGUGCAGGAAGACGGCCCUCCGGGUUGUAAACUGCUUUUAUUCGGGAAUAAACCUAGAUACGUGUAUCUAGCUGAAUGUACCGAAGGAAUAAGGAUCGGCUAACUCCGUGCCAGCAGCCGCCGUAA